rnacentral:rRNA from 1 species
AUGAACGCUAGCGGCAGGCCUAACACAUGCAAGUCGAGGGGCAGCGGGGAAAAGCUUGCUUUUCCGCCGGCGACCGGCGCACGGGUGCGCACCGCGUAUGGAACCUGCCUUGUACAGGGGAAUAGCCCAGGGAAACUUGGAUUAAUGCCCCGUAGUACCGUAUUUCGGCAUCGUUAUACGGUUAAAGCCUUCGGGCGGUACAAGAUGGCCAUGCGUCCCAUUAGCUUGUUGGUAAGGUAACGGCUUACCAAGGCUACGAUGGGUAGGGGCCCUGAGAGGGGGAUCCCCCACACUGGUACUGAGACACGGACCAGACUCCUACGGGAGGCAGCAGUGAGGAAUAUUGGACAAUGGAGGAGACUCUGAUCCAGCCAUGCCGCGUGCAGGAAGAAUGCCCUAUGGGUAGUAAACUGCUUUUAUACGGGAAGAAAAAGAGCUACGUGUAGCUUACUGACGGUACCGUAAGAAUAAGGACCGGCUAACUCCGUGCCAGCAGCCGCGGUAAUACGGAGGGUCCGAGCGUUAUCCGGAAUUAUUGGGUUUAAAGGGUCCGUAGGCGGGCCGAUAAGUCAGGGGUGAAAGUCUGCCGCUCAACGGUAGAACUGCCUUUGAUACUGUCGGUCUUGAGUUAUAGUGAAGUUGCCGGAAUAUGUAGUGUAGCGGUGAAAUGCAUAGAUAUUACAUAGAACACCGAUUGCGAAGGCAGGUGACUAACUAU